rnacentral:rRNA from 1 species
AGCCACGAGUAUGUAUUCAUGGUUUCUUCUGCCCAAUGGUAGAUAAAUGGCCGCGGUACCUUGACCGUGCAAAGGUAGCAUAAUCAAUUGGCUUAUAAUUGAAGUCUAGAAUGAAUGAAUUUAUGGGGGAGACCUGUCUCAAAUAUCUAUUCAAAAGUUACGGCUAAAGUGAAAAGUCUUUAGGAUAACACUUAGACGAGAAGACCCUAGAAAUUUUUUAAAUUAUAUUAUUUUGUUGGGGCGACAGAGUUAAAGGUAACUGAUUUAAAAUGACAAGUGAUAAAUUAUUGGAUUGAUUAAAUUACUCUAGGGAUAACAGCAUAAUUUGUAAAAGUUUGUGACCUCGAUGUUGGACUAGGGAUUUUAUUGUUUAGAAAAUAAUAUAUAUUGCUCUGUUCGAGCAUUGAACCUACAU